rnacentral:sRNA from 1 species
UCUUGCCAACUUUCCAGUGCUAUGUGUACUGGAAUACAUACCAUUCCGGUAUACGCAUAAGGAUUUCUGGCUGUCAUACCGUAGGGGUAAGGCAUGCCCAUACCCAUUCCGUACAUACUCGCCCCAAGACCGUAGCCUACUUUAGUCAGCUCUGCCGUUGGCAGGACUAUAAAAGGUGGGGAGAAGACCAACCUAGACCUCCCAUACCCAUCAUAUAAGGGAUCCCCAGCCCACCUGCAUAAUAGGGACUCAUCAUCUUUAUACAUUUACACAUCAGCCAAUUUUUUUUGGCCAUAAUAGAUCAAACGCACUGUUCCGUAUCCGUACAUGGUUUGUAAAGUAUGCGCCCACACCCUGAUCUGUUAGCCAGAGGCUUCAAGCGACAAAAGUUUAUAAGUGGGUAUUGCUUUGCUUUAAAGUGUGACUAGAUAUGAAGAAGAAACAUUGCCAUCUAAGUGAUGGCGAAAGAUCACGUUGCACGGCUUUUUAUUGUCUGCUACGCGCUGCAAAGGCAGCAAGCGGCAUACCCCUUGAAAAACAAAGGAAAAGAAGUAGAUUAUAAGAUCUAAAGUUGACAAAGGAGCAAUCAGUUUGACAGUCGUUGCAAUUGAGUCAAUCAGUGAGUGUCAGUAGGUAAAUGGGGGAUUAUUGUUGUGAAUGGAAAUCGAGGAAGAAUAAUGAAAAAUGGAGACUUGCGGAAAUGUCUUCUCGAGAUGAUGAAGAAUGGAGACAGUACAAAAGAUGAGCAAGAGUUCGCAAUGCUUCUGCGUGUGCUGCCACACCACGAACACGCCUAAUCUGCCCUGGUCCUUCCGAAUGCAUCUGGCAUUUUCUAGUACCUAUGGACUGUUAUUUCCAGAAGGCCAAACCAUUGAUCGCCAUCGGUAAAUGAACAUCACCAACGUCCACUAUUAGCUUUGCGCUCAAGUCAGCAAAGCAGAUCAUGAAGUCUUGGUAUCUUCUAUCUCCAACAUUUUCGAUUCCAAGAACUUGGUGGCUUUCGUUCUGAAUUAUUCACGGUCCCAUGUCUAUUGAAGAUUACAAUAUGCCUAUCAUGGAGUUACCAAAAUGUAUACGAAAUAGCUUGACUUACUGUCAACAAAUGAUGAUCUGGUUCCCUUAAGUCCUGAGCAUCCAAUACAUCUUCGAGAUCUUCGAGCUCAUUUUGGUGCGCCAUUUGGGGGCAUCGUGAGGUGACAGAAGUACAGUA